rnacentral:rRNA from 1 species
GGAGAGUUUGAUCCUGGCUCAGGACGAACGCUGGCGGCGUGCUUAACACAUGCAAGUCGAGCGGUAAGGCCUUUCGGGGUACACGAGCGGCGAACGGGUGAGUAACACGUGGGUGAUCUGCCCUGCACUUCGGGAUAAGCCUGGGAAACUGGGUCUAAUACCGGAUAUGACCUCAGGUUGCAUGACUUGGGGUGGAAAGAUUUAUCGGUGCAGGAUGGGCCCGCGGCCUAUCAGCUUGUUGGUGGGGUAAUGGCCUACCAAGGCGACGACGGGUAGCCGACCUGAGAGGGUGACCGGCCACACUGGGACUGAGACACGGCCCAGACUCCUACGGGAGGCAGCAGUGGGGAAUAUUGCACAAUGGGCGAAAGCCUGAUGCAGCGACGCCGCGUGAGGGAUGACGGCCUUCGGGUUGUAAACCUCUUUCAGCAGGGACGAAGCGCAAGUGACGGUACCUGCAGAAGAAGCACCGGCUAACUACGUGCCAGCAGCCGCGGUAAUACGUAGGGUGCAAGCGUUGUCCGGAAUUACUGGGCGUAAAGAGUUCGUAGGCGGUUUGUCGCGUCGUUUGUGAAAACCAGCAGCUCAACUGCUGGCUUGCAGGCGAUACGGGCAGACUUGAGUACUGCAGGGGAGACUGGAAUUCCUGGUGUAGCGGUGAAAUGCGCAGAUAUCAGGAGGAACACCGGUGGCGAAGGCGGGUCUCUGGGCAGUAACUGACGCUGAGGAACGAAAGCGUGGGUAGCGAACAGGAUUAGAUACCCUGGUAGUCCACGCCGUAAACGGUGGGCGCUAGGUGUGGGUUCCUUCCACGGAAUCCGUGCCGUAGCUAACGCAUUAAGCGCCCCGCCUGGGG